rnacentral:lncRNA from 1 species
UGAGCUUUUGAAUGAUGAAAUGACAUUUAUUUGUUGCUUUGAUUAUUUUAUUAUUAUUACUGUGUGUGGCUGUUGGGAUUCUUACGGGGCUGGAAAAGCUCAUACUACACUUACUUUCUUUUUCAGAGGUACUGAAAUUGUAGAGUCUAUCGGGUGGAACAAGAAAUGAGAUCGAUAUGGAGUAUGACUGCUAGAUAGUUAGAAGUUAAUUUAUCUUUUGUUUAUGGACAUUUGAAAUUAUGUAAUUAAUCCAUACAUUUUAGUUGGGUUUGAUUUAAUUACAUUAAUCAUUAAUUUUGGGUAUUUAUGUGAAUAUUGUACCUUUUAGGCCUUACAUGAUCUCUAGGGUUUUACUUUAGGGAUUAUGUGGCCGUGUCACGUGGUCGACCCGAGUGACGGGUUUGGGGCGUGACAGAUUUGGUAUCAGAGCUUAAGGUUAAGGUAUCUUAGAGUUUAGGUUCAGAUGAGUGUGAGUGGAGAAUUAUGAUAGGAAAACUAUCAGAGCCUUAGUUUAUAAUCAUUUGAGAUUGUAACAGGAAUGAUAUUGUAAUCUAAGGUUUAAGACCACUAGAGACUGUGGGCUUAGUGGCAUUAGAGUUUGAGGUUUAAGAUCAUUGGGGAUAGUGACAAAAUUGGAAUCUGAGCAUAUGUUUAAGAUCACUAGGGACUGUGACAGAAAUAUAUUAUAGCUAAGGUUAUGAUCACUUGGGAUAUGACAAUUAAAUUCAGUGCUUAAGGUGUAAGAUUACUGGGCAUUGUGAUAAAAUAUAUGCAUCGGGUUUGGUUUUCGAUGAGUGUAGAAGGAAAGUAUAAAUUGUCUUUGAUCAUGAUAAGAGAGGUUUGACCUAAGAUAAGUGUAGGAAGGUCAACAAUGGCAUAUCUGUUAUACGAUGUUUAGAUAUUAUUUAAAUGACCUGAAAAUUCAAACUUGAUAUGGGUUUUGAUGUGAUUGUACUUUUGGUUUUGCUGCUAAUUGUUAGAGCGAGAUUUGUACGUAAAUCUUCCGUAGUAUUGGAGUGAGCUAAGAAGAUUUCAUAAUAUUGAAAGGAAUGUUCUUCGAAGCUGAAUAUGUAUGUGGAUUAUAUCUGGUAUUGGCAUAUUGGAUAUUGCAAAUAGGUCUAUUUUCUAUUGAUGUAUUUGAUUAUUUUGAGGCCAUAGAGUAUGCAUAUUGACGGGAGAAUUCUAAUUAUUUGAAUUCUCAUGUUUGAAUUGGGCUACUGGAUUUUAUUUAUAAUUGUAGAAGACUAUUUGAUGUGUUAAUUUAAAACUCAAGCCUAGGUUUAAGAUUUGAGCAGGAAUCUUUUGUCAUUGUUGAUGAAGCCACUAAUAAAUGUNNNNNNNNNNNNNNNNNNNNAGACUUCGGUGAUAAGAUGCUUACAUGAAUUAUCAUAUAUAGCAUUGCUGAUGGAUGUUACGAAUCUUGGUGAGAAAAAAAUCUGGAGAUCGAUAGAGUUAAUUUCUAAUUAUAGUGUAUUAGCUCAAUGACUUCUAACCCAUUGAAUUUUAAGUAAAUCUUUUUGGAAAGAAGAUCAAUGUAGAUUGCCUAAUCGCAUUGCUGAGGAAAUCCAAGGUUAACUUAUUUUAAAUUAAACUUAGAUAUUUUUGAUUCUAAAAUGGUUGUGAAGAUAAUGUAGUGACCUUAAACCUGAAUAAUGGCUUGAGGGUUAGUUAUGGUUAGUAUACUCUGCAUAAAUUGAGGACAGAGAGAUCUGGAGGUUCUGCUCAAUUAAAGUUCUAAAAUUUGGAUUUUUCUUACUCCUAGUGCAAAGUGAUAUUUCGGUCAUAAAUCAUUUAGAAGCUUUAGAGUAUUUAAUGGAUUAAAUCAGAGUGCACAACGGAAGUGUAGUGGUUUGAGUUAUUUUGAAACUGGUUAAGGACAUUAAUAUUUGAUCUAAAAAGUAUUAUGAUGGAACACUUGAGUUAGUUUCUAGUAGAGGAGAAUGUUGUUGAUUCUAUGGACAGUCGGAGCGUGCUAUUUAGAUUUUGGAAGAUAUGUUAAAGAUGGAUUUGGGUGGUGCAUGGGAUAGUCAUUUGUCGCUGGUUGAGUUUGCCUACAACAAUAGUUAUCAGGCCAGUAUCCAGAUGGCUCCUUUUGAGGCAUUGUAUGGCAGGAAAUGCGGAUCUCCUAUUUAUUAGGAUGAUGUGGGCGAGAGAAAAUAUAUUCCGGACCCAAACCAUGUGGUGGAUUUUGAGCCUAUGAGUCUGCAUGAGGACCUAACUUAUGAAGAGUACCCGGUACGGAUUGUGGAUAGAAAGGAUCAAGUGUUGCGAUGUCGGACCAUUCCUUAUAUAAAGGUGCAAUUGAGCAACCACUCAGAAAGAGAGGCCACUUGGGAGCUCGAGGAAGAAAUAAAAGCCAAACAUCCUCAACUCUUUGGUAUUCCAGGUACAUUAAUUUCGCGGACGAAAUUUUUUUAGGAGGGGAGAAUGUGAGAACCCAGAAAAAAAAAGGGUUGACGGGCCGGCCUGAAAUGACCGGGCCCAUCCACCUAUUACGAUCGUGCCCUAGGCACGAUCGUGGAAGAGAGGAGUUGCAAGGGGGGCGGCGGCGUUAGAGGAGGCCGGUCGUCAUCGGAGGUUGACCGCCGGAGAAGAGGGCGAUCGUGGGGAAGGCGGCGAAUUUCGCGAACCGGCCGAUCAAGGAGGAUAAUGAAGAUCCCCACCAAUCGCACGAAGAGGCCUCGGAUCCGUGGGUUUACUUAUGGAUUUCUUCACCGAUUUCUCGCCGGAAAGGUCGCCGGAGCAUCCUGUCGGACUGAGGUAAGUCCCUUGUGCUUCAUUUCCUGGAUUUGGGGCGGCGUUGGUGGGGUUUUGGCUGGUGAAAUCAUCGGAGAGGGAUCCGAAACAGGGUACCCCUGUUUCGGCCUCUCUCUUCCGGAUUUUUGCCGCCGCCGGCCGCUAGUUGGCCGAGAGAUCCAUGGCAUCUGAGGCGUUGAUUUGGAUUGAGAAGGGAUUGUGAGGGAUUCUAGGGUUUUAGUUGGGGAUGGGGGGAGGUGGACCGAGGUCUCCUUCCUCGUGAUCCCAUCUCCUUUCCACUUUUCCUCUCGUCGGUUGGCCACCGGCGGCGACGACGAUGGCGGUCGUGGGCCACCGUGGCUGCCGUCGGGUGGGGGGAGCCGAGCCACCAUCAGGGUGGUCUUUGGCUGAUGAUGGAGGAGGGGGGGGACCCUUUGCUGGUUCUUGUGUNNNNNNNNNNNNNNNNNNNNCCGUCGCGGCGGCCCGCCGGAAAUGGGGCGGGGGUCGUGACAUCUUGGGAGGAAGAAGAAGAAGAGGAGAUCUCUUCUUCUCUAGCUCUUUCCCUUGGCCGGCCACCAUCGUCGGCGACUGCAACAGUGGCGGCCUGGAUGGUUCGGCUAGUAGUGUUGUCGGGUUGGGGAAGGAGAGGGCACAGCCACCAUGGCUGUUGCCCUUGGAUCAAAAAGAUUUGAGGGAGGGAGAUGUAUUCCCAACCAUGAAGAGGGAGGAAUCAUCCCUUUCUCUUGAUCUCUUCACCGGGACCGGCCAUCGUUGACGGCGUGGCUGCGGCCACGGCUGGCAACGACAUAGGCCGGUGGUACAAGGUGGAAGUCGGGCCACCCCGAUUGUCCUAGAUCUAGAGGGAUAGAGAUGUUUGCGGACCUGGUGAUGGACCCCAUAGUGGAUGUGAAUUAUGGUUUAGAAUAUUUAAAUAUUAAAUAAUUUAGUUUGUGAUUUAUAAUUGAUGUUGUAGGGGAAGAGUCAGCGGUGCCAGGAGAUUUUGAUCAGGGGACUCAGCACCCCAACGCGUAGGUUGUGAUUCGGAUCCAUGCUUGAGUCAGUCUACAAUUUUAGUAAGAAUCCUUACAUCUGAGCACCUCUAUUUAUGCAUGUAUUGGAUUUAUCGUUGGAUAUAUUUUUAUCAGUAUGUUGUUAUAAAUUUGAUGAGCUUGUAUGACACAUAUGAGGUGUGCAUUUGGUUUAUUAUGAAAGUAUUGGAAUAAUUAAAUUGGGAAGAAUUAUCAUAUUUUUGAGAAUUUAUGAAUAUAUAUGAUGUGAUUGAAAUGUGAUUAAACAUGUAAAACUAGACAUGUAAAAUGGGUUGGACUAACCUUGUCAUGAGAUAGCCUCUACGAGCUUAUGCGUAGGAUAGCUGCCACGAGCUGAUGCGUGGGAUAGCUUCUACGAGCUUAUGCGUAGGAUAGCCUCCACGGGCUUACGCGCGGGAUAGCUGCCACGAGCUUAUGCGUCGGAUUUGUGCAGUCUUGGACUGGGUUAUGAUCUUGGUUAGUCCAAAGCCAGAAGUGAAAAAUCUUAAAACUUGGGAAUCAGAGUAAUACGAAAGUAGAUCACAUAAUGUGCAAAAAGGAUUUAUGUAUAUGUACUGGUUAUAUAUACUUGUUGUCUGUUGAGCUUUUGAAUGAUGAAAUGACAUUUAUUUGUUGCUUUGAUUAUUUUAUUAUUAUUACUGUGUGUGGCUGCUGGGAUUCUUACUAGGCUGGAAAAGCUCAUACUACACUUACUUUCUUUUUCAGAGGCACUGGAAUUGUAGAGUCCAUCGGGUGGAACAAGAAAUGAGAUCGAUAUGGAGUCUGACUGCUAGAUAGUUAGAAAUUAAUUUAUCUUUUGUUUAUGGAUAUUUGAAAUUAUGUAAUUAAUCAGUACAUUUUAGUUGGGUUUGAUUUAAUUACAUUAAUCAUUAAUUUUGGGCAUUUAUGUGAAUAUUGUACCUUUUAGGCCUUACAUGAUCUCUAGGGUUUUACUUUAGGGAUUAUGUGGCCGUGUCACGUGGUCGACCCGAGUGAUGGGUUUGGGGCGUGACA